ACAGCAUUUUUCAAAAGUUUAUAGCGCUGGACGGCAUUAGAGUCGGAAAUAAAGGGUUGAUUUGAAAAGUGAAGGUUUCCGAAAGAAGCUGGAGAAAAUGGAGUCGAACUCGCAACUUGGCGUUCGCCAAGACAAGCUGGACGGGCGGACGAUCAAUAACUUGAUAUGGAACAAAGCGUAUUACUUAUGCCCUCGCUGCCGCUAUCUGCCAAAGAGCGCCAUCUACGGGCUACCGAUUGGGUGUUGUUACCCCGUCCCACCACAGGACCCUGAAGCAAGCCCUGGCAGCCUGGGGAAGCCACCACAAGGAAAACGACGAUGAUAACUGCAACGAUGGAGCUGAACCUAUGUAGGAGGACAUAAUGAAAACUAAAUUAAAUGAAUAAAGGUCUGAAAUGUA